AGGAUAAUAGUUAAACAUAACAUUUGUUUUGCAUUCAAAAAUUAUUAAUAUAAUAUAAAUAUUAAUUUAUCUUA
rnacentral:tRNA from 1 species